rnacentral:rRNA from 1 species
UACAGAGGUCUCAAGCGUUGUUCGGAUUCAUUGGGCGUAAAGGGUGCGUAGGUGGCGCGGUAAGUCGGGUGUGGAAAUUCGAUCGGAGCUUUAACUCCGAAACUGCAUUCGAUACUGCCGUGCUUGAGGACUGGAGAGGAGACUGGAAUUUACGGUGUAGCAGGUGAAAUGCGUAGAUAUCGUAAGGAAGACCAGUGGCGAAGGCGGGGUCUCUGGACAGUUCCUGACGCUGAGGCACGAAGGCAGGGGAGCAAAC